rnacentral:lncRNA from 1 species
GCAUACAAUCUUUAAACCUAGUCGGCCUUGGCGGCAGAAGCAGCAGCUUGACCUCUGAGACGACCAGUCCUCCUAGCAGCAAUAAGACCAACCUUCUGUCCUGGUGGUGCGUCACGCCUGACCGUACUGGCGUGACCAAUGUGCUGAUGGUUACCUCCUCCGUGAGGAUGCUCAACAGGGUUCAUAGCCACACCACGAACCUUAGGCCAUGAGUUUCUCUUCACACGGUACUUGUGGUACGCGUUUCCUGCCUUGAGCAUCGGCUUCUCGGUU